GCCUGGCUGGUUCAUCAGAGGAAUAUGAGACUCUUAAUCUCAUAUAGUGAGUUCAAACCCCACGUGGGGUA
rnacentral:tRNA from 1 species